rnacentral:rRNA from 1 species
CACUCCUGCGGGAGGCAGCAGUGGGGAAUAUUGGACAAUGGGCGCAAGCCUGAUCCAGCCAUGCCGCGUGAGUGAUGAAGGCCCUAGGGUUGUAAAGCUCUUUUGUGCGGGAAGAUAAUGACGGUACCGCAAGAAUAAGCCCCGGCUAACUUCGUGCCAGCAGCCGCGGUAAUACGAAGGGGGCUAGCGUUGCUCGGAAUCACUGGGCGUAAAGGGUGCGUAGGCGGGUCUUUAAGUCAGGGGUGAAAUCCUGGAGCUCAACUCCAGAACUGCCUUUGAUACUGAAGAUCUUGAGUUCGGGAGAGGUGAGUGGAACUGCGAGUGUAGAGGUGAAAUUCGUAGAUAUUCGCAAGAACACCAGUGGCGAAGGCGGCUCACUGGCCCGAUACUGACGCUGAGGCACGAAAGCGUGGGGAGCAAACAGGAUUAGAUACCCCGGUAGUCC